AUUGAACGCUGGCGGCAGGCCUAACACAUGCAAGUCGAGCGGAUGAAGGGAGCUUGCUCCUGGAUUCAGCGGCGGACGGGUGAGUAAUGCCUAGGAAUCUGCCUGGUAGUGGGGGAUAACGUCCGGAAACGGGCGCUAAUACCGCAUACGUCCUGAGGGAGAAAGUGGGGGAUCUUCGGACCUCACGCUAUCAGAUGAGCCUAGGUCGGAUUAGCUAGUUGGUGGGGUAAAGGCCUACCAAGGCGACGAUCCGUAACUGGUCUGAGAGGAUGAUCAGUCACACUGGAACUGAGACACGGUCCAGACUCCUACGGGAGGCAGCAGUGGGGAAUAUUGGACAAUGGGCGAAAGCCUGAUCCAGCCAUGCCGCGUGUGUGAAGAGGGUCUUCGGAUUGUAAAGCACUUUAAGUUGGGAGGAAGGGCAGUAAGUUAAUACCUUGCUGCUUUGACGUUACCAACAGAAUAAGCACCGGCUAACUUCGUG
rnacentral:rRNA from 1 species